AGAGUUUGAUCAUGGCUCAGAUUGAACGCUGGCGGCAUGCUUUACACAUGCAAGUCGAACGGCAGCGGGGGCUUCGGCCUGCCGGCGAGUGGCGAACGGGUGAGUAAUGCAUCGGAACGUACCCAGUCGUGGGGGAUAGCUCGGCGAAAGCCGGAUUAAUACCGCAUACGCCCUGUGGGGGAAAGCGGGGGACCUUCGGGCCUCGCGCGAUUGGAGCGGCCGAUGUCGGAUUAGCUAGUUGGUGGGGUAAAGGCCUACCAAGGCGACGAUCCGUAGCUGGUCUGAGAGGAUGAUCAGCCACACUGGGACUGAGACACGGCCCAGACUCCUACGGGAGGCAGCAGUGGGGAAUUUUGGACAAUGGGGGCAACCCUGAUCCAGCCAUGCCGCGUGAGUGAAGAAGGCCUUCGGGUUGUAAAGCUCUUUCAGGUGGGAAGAAAUCGCGCGGGCGAAUAUCUCGUGCGGAUGACGGUACCACCAGAAGAAGCACCGGCUAACUACGUGCCAGCAGCCGCGGUAAUACGUAGGGUGCGAGCGUUAAUCGGAAUUACUGGGCGUAAAGCGUGCGCAGGCGGUUGUGUAAGACAGGUGUGAAAUCCCCGGGCUUAACCUGGGAACUGCGCUUGUGACUGCACGGCUAGAGUACGGCAGAGGGGGGUGGAAUUCCACGUGUAGCAGUGAAAUGCGUAGAUAUGUGGAGGAACACCGAUGGCGAAGGC
rnacentral:rRNA from 1 species